rnacentral:rRNA from 1 species
GAAUCUUCCACAAUGGGCGAAAGCCUGAUGGAGCAACGCCGCGUGAGUGAAGAAGGUUUUCGGAUCGUAAAACUCUGUUGUUAGGGAAGAACAAGUACCGGAGUAACUGCCGGUACCUUGACGGUACCUAACCAGAAAGCCACGGCUAACUACGUGCCAGCAGCUGCGGUAAUACGUAGGUGGCAAGCGUUGUCCGGAAUUAGUGGGCGUAAAGCGCGCGCAGGCGGUCUUUUAAGUCUGAUGUGAAAGCCCCCGGCUCAACCGGGGAGGGUCAUUGGAAACUGGGAGACUUGAGUGCAGAAGAGAAGAGUGGAAUUCCACGUGUAGCGGUGAAAUGCGUAGAGAUGUGGAGGAACACCAGUGGCGAAGGCGACUCUUUGGUCUGUAACUGACGCUGAGGCGCGAAAGCGUGGGGAGCAAACAGG